GGCGUUAAGACACAAGACACAAGAUCCAAAUCCGAGCCGAGAUGAGCCAAGAUAAUUUUGUAUAACAGUUCAUAUUUAAUCUGCCAUUAAUUAGAAUAUUAUUGCACGAAAGAUAAAUCAAUGCAAAAGACAAAACCGGUUCCUAUCAAAUGAAGCAACAACAAGUUGGUUUAGAAAACUCAGGACCAAUAACACAGUCACCGUAUGUGUACCGGACGCGCCCAGUUCCUGGUGGAUUUACACAAUCCUGGUAACACUCUCGGGGUCCAAAAUUUGACGUACACUGAGAACCGCAAACUCUUCGUUUGAAAUGUGGUGCUGCAUGUCGACAAGGUCACCACAUAUGAAUAUCAUAAUCGUAUCUAUAUGAAAUUAUGAAUUAUAUAUAUGUAUACACAUAACAUAAUAUAUAUAUCAAAUUAUAUUGUAAGGGUUUUAAAUUUAAAAUCAAACAAUUAGUGAAUUAGCCUAUAUCGCUUAUAUAUUACAUAAGAUUCCUAAUACGUUUUUUUAGAUGAUUGCUCUUCCGCUCCAUCUCGAAACGAAUCAUAUUCUAGGACCGGUAAUAAACUUUAUUUCAAAUCAUGACUAAUAAGCCAGACUAGAAGACAGACUAUAAUGGCAUAUUAAAUUAUAUUCCCUCCGUUUCAUAAAGAGUGUCAUUCUGACAUUUUUCACAUAUAUUAAGAAAAUUAUUAAAAGUACAACUUUAUCCCUUAUUAAUACAUUAAAUGAUUUGUUUUUAUCUAGUAAAUACAUUAAAUUAAUAGGAUUAAAAUUGGAAUAUUGUUUAAAAUUUUGCAUUGAAAAUAUAAAACGACACUCUUUGUGAAACAAAAAUAAAACCUUAAAACGACACUCUUUGUAAAACGGAAGGAGUAUGGAUUUUUAACUCAAAACUAAUUACUUAUAUCUCUUGUAUAUAAAUAAUUAUAUCAUGACUUAUAUCUCUUACAUAUUAUUUAUGAUCGCUGCUAGUUUUUGAUGUGAGAUUAAUUUUUUCAAAUAUAUGUAUAUAUAUAUAGAUAUAUAUAUUUUCUUGCUUUUAACAUGAUAAAAUCUAGUGAAUUAUAAAUUAACAACAUCAAAAAGAAAAACAUAUACCCGGAGCUUCCGCCAAGGCCUUGUAACUGGACAACGAAGACGCUGCCAAUAUUAUUAAAAGAAAUAAAGUCGUCCAAGUCUUUGUGAUGCACAUAUUGUCUUGCUCUUAGUAUCAACGAUAAAGUAUCUUGAAAAAUUUUAAGCUGUUC
rnacentral:lncRNA from 1 species